AGAGUUUGAUCAUGGCUCAGAACGAACGCUGGCGGCACGUUUUAAGCAUGCAAGUCGAACGGUAGGAAAUGCUUGCAUUUCCGAGAGUGGCGAACGGGUGAGUAACACGUAGAUGAUCUGCCUUUUAGUUGGGGAUAGCCCAUGGAAACAUGGAGUAAUACCGAAUAAUCUCUUUUUGCUUUAGCGAAUUGAGGAAAGGAGCUUCGGCUUCGCUGAAAGAUGAGUCUGCGCACUAUUAGCUAGUUGGUAGGGUAAGAGCCUACCAAGGCGACGAUAGUUAGCCGACCUGAGAGGGUGAUCGGCCACAUUGGUACUGAGACACGGACCAGACUCCUACGGGAGGCAGCAGCUAAGAAUCUUCCGCAAUGGGCGCAAGCCUGACGGAGCGAUGCCGCGUGAAUGAAGAAUGUAAAGAUAUUGUAAAAUUCUUUUAUAGGUGAGGAAUAAUAGCACUAGGUAAUGAGUGCUAGAUGACGUUAGCCUAUGAAUAAGCUCCGGCCAAUUACGUGCCAGCAGCCGCGGUAACACGUAAGGAGCGAGCGUUGUUCGGAAUUAUUGGGCGUAAAGGGCGUGUAGGCGGUUAAUUAAGUCUUGUUUGAAAGACCAGUGCUCAACACCGGAAACGGACAGGAAACUGAUUAACUAGAAUCCGGUAGGGAAAUGUGGAAUUUCUAGUGUAGGGGUGAAAUCUGUUGAUAUUAGAAAGAACACCAAUGGCGAAGGCAACAUUUUGGGCCUGGAUUGACGCUGAGGCGCGAAAGCAUAGGUAGCAAACAGGAUUAGAUACCCUGGUAGUCUAUGCCGUAUACAUUGUACACUUGGUGUCGGG
rnacentral:rRNA from 1 species